GCUGGAGAUGGGCAGAACCAGGUUGGGGCCUGUGCUCUGGGGAAAGGAGAUGCUGCCCACCGCCCUCGGCUCCAGCCCCUGGAUCCGAGCCACAGUGUGACACGAGAUUUACUUAUUUAUUUACUAUGAUUUAUUUAAUACGAGCUGGAGAGUUUCACAUAACCGGGCAAGAAGUCAGAAGACCCAACUAAAGUUGGAACAAGCAAGCAAGCAAACACAAAAAAUGAAAUAUGCAUUUGCUAAUAAGAGCAAAUACAUUACCAAGUAGACAAGCCCAGAAGUGCCACCUACAGCCCUCCAUCUCCAUACACCCUCAAGGGCAGCACAUGAAGCUGUGGCGACAUGUGCAUUUCCUGUGCGUUGUGACAGAGAGAAGACUUCUGGAGAACUGAGGCAAGCUGGAUUAGUCAGGAGAGAGCACCCUAUCCAUGCAAAGCCAGAAGAAUUGGAGGCAAGAUUAAUCACUUCCAUAAGGACCAAGUCACAAACUGGAAGGAAUUAACUAGAAUCAAGAUGGCAACUGAAAUGCCCACUAGUGACCCUGAGCCUCUUUGGACUGUCAUCAUCAUAACAUCUCCAUAUUGGCUAGGAGGGUUCCGUCAUGCCCUUGAUAACACCACACCCUGAAAUCUACAGAUAUGGUCAGAAAAGACAGAGAGCCCAUAUUCCAGGAAAACUCCACUUUGUCUGGGAAACCCCCUCUCCUGUCCCAGCCCCUUAAUGAAUAGUAAUUACAGGCUGGGAAGGCAGCAUCAUGGUUCUGCAAAAGACUCUCAUGCCUGAGGUUCUGAGAUCUCAGGUUCAGUCUAUAUAGAAUGGGAGAGCUUUACAUGCCACACAUCCAACAAGAGACUAAUAGCCAGAAUAUGUAAAGAGCUUGCCAGACU